rnacentral:rRNA from 1 species
GACGAACGCUGGCGGCGUGCCUAAUACAUGCAAGUCGAACGCAGUGGGGACGGGUGAGUAACACGUGGGUAACCUCCCAUCAGAGGGGAUAACACUUGGAAACAGGUGCUAAACCGAUACUGAUGGAUGGACCCGCGGUGCAUUAGCUAGUGGGUGAGGUAACGGCUCACCAAGGCCACGAUGCAUAGCCGACCUGGGAGGGUAAUCGGCCACACUGGGACGGAGAACCGGCCCAGACUCCUACGGGAGGCAGCAGUAGGGAAUCUUCGGCAAGGGACGAAGGGCUGACCGGGAAACGCCGCGUGAUGGAAGAAGGUUUUCGGAUCGAAAGCCUCGGUUGUUAGAGAGGCGGUAUCUAACCAGAAAGCCACGGCUAACUACGUGCCAGCAGCCGCGGUAAUUC